UUUUUUUUUUUUUUUUUUUUUGGUCUUUUUUGCCUUUUCUAGGGCCACUCCCGCGGCAUAUGGAUGUUCCCAGGCUAAGGGUCCAAUCAGAGCUGUAGCCACCGGCCGACACCAGAGCCACAGCAACGCGGGAUCCAAGCCACGUCUGCGACCUACACCACAGCUCAAGGCAAUGCUGGAUCGUUAACCCACUGAGCAAGGCCAGGGAUCGAACCUGCAACCUCAUGGUUCCUAUUCAGAUUCCUCAACCACUGUGCCAUGGCGGGAAUUCCGAUCUCCCCCUAUAUUUUUAAAUAUCCUACAACUGUGCCAAUGUUGUGAAAAAUGCCAUUGGUAGUAUGAAAAGGAUUGCACUGUGUGAGUUGCAUUGGAUAGUAUAUUCAUUUUCAUAAUAUUGAUUUUUCCAAUCCAAGAACAUGUUAUAUCUUUUGAUAUGCUUAUAUCAUCUUCAAUUUCUUUCAUCAGUGUCCUACAGUUUUUGAAGUACGGGCCUUUUGCUUUCUUAGGUAGGUUUAUUCCUAGAUAUUUUAUUCUUUUUGAUGUGAUAGUAAAUUAUCAAUGACAAUCUCUAGAACUAGAACAAAAAGAAAUUUAAAUGUGUAUGAAAACACAAAAGACCACAAAUGGUCAAAGCAACCUUGAGAAAGAAAAACAGAGCUAGGGGAAUAAGGCUCUCUGACUAUACCACAGAGCCACAGUAAUCAAAACAGAACUAUAGAUCAAUUGAAUAACAUAGAAAACCCAAAAAUAAACCCACACACCUAUGGUCAAUUUAUCUAGGACAAAGAAGACAAGAAUAUGAAAUGGAUAAAACACUUCAGUAAGUGGUGUUAGGAAAACUGGAUCACUACAUGUAAAAGAAUAAAACUAGAAAUAAAUUCUUUAUGAGUUCCCAUCAUGGCUCAGCAGAAACAAAUCUGACUAGGAACCAUGAGAUUGUUGGUUCAAUCCCUAUGUUAUCAGUUACAUGUGGACUCUUAAAAAAUACAAUAAACUACUGAAUAUAACAAAAGAGAAACAGACUCAGACACAGAGAACAAACUAGUGGUUACUAAUGGAGAGAGGGAAAGGGAAGGCAAGAUAAGGGUAGGGGAUUAAGAGGUACAAACUACUAUGGGUUUUUUGGGUUUUUUCUUUUUUGUCUGCCCCACAGAAUAUGGAGUUCCAAGCCAGGGAUCAGCUCUAAGCUGCAGUUGCAUCAUAUGCUGCAGCUAUAGUAACAUCAGAUCCUUAUCCCACUAUGCACAGCCAGGGAUAGAACCUGCAUCCCAGAGCUCCAGACACACUGCCAAUCCCAUUAUGCUACAGUAGGAACUCCCAAUUACUCUGUAUGAAAUUAAUAAGCUACAACGAUAUACUGAACAGCACAGGGAAUAUAGCCAAUAUUCAUAAUAACUAUAGAGGGAGUAGAUCUAUAAAAAGAUUUGUACUACUAUGCUGUAUACCUGAAACUAAUAAUAUUGUAAAUCAACUGUACAUCAGUUUUUAAAAAGUCACCUCAGGAGGUUCCCUUCCUCUUCUUUCACAGAAAGACACAGAAAGAUAACAACCAUGAAUAAGGAAGUGGGCUCUCAUCAGACACCAAAACUGCCAGCUCAUUGAGCUUGGACUUCCCAGUCUCCAGAAAUGCAAGAAAUUGAUUUCUAUUGUUUAUAAGCCACUCAGUCUAUGGAUCUUUUUUGUUUCAGCAGCCUAAAUGGAAUAAGACACUAAAAAUCUCAUUUUUCACAGGGCACUGGAUAGAAUGAACAGAAAAGCCUUUCCUCAAUGGUAGAGAACAGUCUGGUGCUAUUAACACUGCUCUGGUCCUGACUAACAGAUCUUAAAAGGAAGAACCAAAGGGAUUAAUCUAAUUCUCAGUAAUUCAACUACAUCCCAGAACAAAUCUCAUGAAUAUCUAUAGGGAUACAAAAAUAUCCAGCACUCAACAAGGUAAAAUUCACAAUUCCUGAUACAGCCAAUCAAAGAUUAUCAGAUCUGCAAGGAAGCAGUAAACUAUGACCCAAAAUAAGAAAAAUCAAACAAAGCUAACCCGAAGCUGGAACAGAUACUAAACUCAGUAAACAAGGACAUUAAGAGAGUUAUUGUAACUAUAUUCCAGGGGUCUAAAAAGUUAAGAUACAAAAACGCUAUUUUAAAAAAAAAACGAAUUUGAGAGAAUAAAAUACAGUAUCUGAGAUGAAAAAGACACUAGAUGGGAUUAACAGAUUUGACAGUUGUGAAAAAAUUUAGUAAACUUGAUGACAUAGCAGUAGAAAUUAUCCAAAAUGAAACACAAGUAAAAGAAUUUUGAAAAAAUUAAGAGGCAUCAUUGAUCUUUGGAGAAAAAUCAAUAUGCCUAACGGAUAUGUAUCUAGAGUGGUCUAAAAAGUGAAAUGAGUCUGGAUAGAAGAAAUAAUGGCCAAAAUUUCUCCAAAUAUAGUGAAAACUAUAAACCUGUAAGUCCAAGAAUCUCAGUACACCCCAAGCACACGAAACAAAACAAAAAUUUCUCAUCAUUUGCAGAGCUCUUCUAUAGGCUUCUGUGCUGGAGUCUCUCGUCAUUCAGGUUGAGCAGCAAAUUCUUGGUGUGUCUCACCAAGGAAACAAAUAAAAGCAGCAAAGACAUCAGGCAGAGAAGAAAGGGGAAAACACAUAUAAGUCAAGAUAGGAAUAAAACUUUUAAGAUAGAACAGUUUAUUUCUGACUAAAUGCAAAGUCGUAUUUCUUUCAGGUUCUCUGUAACAAUUCAUCCACAACUCACCAAGAGCACCCUCCAUUAAGAGGUUAACAGACAGACGGUAAGAACAAAAAGCCCUGAAAAAGCACGAGAACCACUCUGCUCAUUCUCCACUUCAGCCAGUGAAAGAAGAACUGGAAGAAAUUGGCAGUCUU
rnacentral:lncRNA from 1 species